CCGAACCUGGACAACAUUUCAUUGUCAUCGAGCUGUUGAUACUCUCAUCGUUUGUGUACUAUAAUUUGAAUGGAAAGAAGGAAAACAUAAAGGGGAACUUCUGCAUCUGAUGUCCUCUCAUGAAUAACAUGUCCAACUCACCCCUCUCACCUUUAAAGAGGUUAUGGCGGCCGGUUUCCUCAAAUAUGUGAAACAGCGCCCCCACUGGAAUACACGUCCGCUUACUGUCGGUUUGUGCGGUGAGAGAGGGUAUUGCUACGCACAGGUGUGGUGCUGAGGAAUCAUUUCAAGUCAGCCGAGAAGACGUCAGGUGUCCACUGAUUUUCACAACGUGUUGCAAGGGAUGGAGGCUAUGGCUGUUGGAAAAAGCAGUAGCCUAAAAUCUAAAACUGUACUGCACCCUUGUGACAAUAGUCUUGCAGGUGAGUAGCUGAGCAGAUGAGAAGUGUGUCAUCAUCGCCUUCAUCCUCUCCUCUCCUUUCCUCUUCCCUGGCUUUUUCCCAGAGGGCCUGGUUCGACUGUGCGCCGAGACGCCAGCAGACUUCAAAGAAGUAGAGAGAUCCGUGAAGGGGAAAGAGGUGAAAGAGACUCUGGCAGUUAAAGAAAAACUCAUACAAGGACCAGAGUGGAGAGAGUGAGGAGAGAGAGAAGGAGAGGUCCCACCAGGAGUGUGUGUGGUUUGAAGUGUUUUGUUGAAGGAGACAAAGAGAAGGACAUACAGCAGUCCACAAGUCAGACCUCAGCAUGUGUUUGACAUACGGUGGAGGAAGUUGAUGUGUGAGGUUUCUGGACUCUGGACAGUGUAGACAACGCACAACAUGGCAGCAGUUUCACCUGCCUGAUGAAGUCCAGAUGUUGCCAAGUUAAAAGUGAACCAUACAUUAUGACUGACCGUGGUACGUUCAAGCUACCAAAGAGGAAAAACGUGGAUGCAUGCCGGUAAAGGAUUUGUUUGGCUGUUCAUGACCACCAGACAGACACUGUGGCCCUUCUGAAGACACUGGGCCCCAGGAGGCCCCUCACCCUUUAAUCCAUUAUGGACGUUGGACAAGUUCUCCUCUGCAGGAAGAAGCGGACACCAAACGAAACAAAGUGUGCGUCAUAAGAGCUGGCUUGAAAAUGUCCGUCAGUGCUACCUGAGCGAUGAGUCGACUGAGUACUUAACUCUUGUUCUGCAACAGCCUUCCUCAAACACUUCGACUCUGAAAGAGACGUAAAGAGAAAGGAAGAGAGGAAACAUAUUCAGACGGAUGACAGCAGCUCCCGGUGGAUUCAAACGUAAGACUUUUGUGUAAAAGAUUAUUCUGGUGUCUGUUUCUCAGCGAGAAGACGGCGCCUUUUCUUCAGUGACAGGAACCAUUUACAGUUUAAGCGAGUGUGUGUCGAGAUGGAAUACUGAGUGGACACACACUCUCUCUCUCCCCGUCCGACUCUCACACACUUACAUUGAGGCCCACACUGACGGACAGCAGCAGCAGCAGCAGGAGGACAAAAGUCUGUAUGGGACGGUUUGACAGCGCCUAGGGAGAGAGACGAGAUUACAGAGGGACAGAAAGAGAGAGAAGGGCGGAUUAUAAACACAGAAGAAGAAUGAAAGACUGUCUCCUGGACUUUAAGCUGACAAACACACACAGUCUCAGUCAUGUACACAAAAGGAGAAUCUCCUAAACAAACUGGUAAUGUGUAGCUGUGGUGCUCGCAAUCUCAAACUGUUACUAUCCAGCAAUAUCUUUGGCAAAAGAGUAAUGCCACAUGAAGGUUUUUCCCUAUAAACAAGUACACGUCAAAUAAAAAUUUAAAACUUUUUAAAUUUGACAAUGAUCUUAUCUCAGUGUCUAUUCACUGGCUUUUUUCAGAUCUUUCGACAGCAUCUCACAGUCUUCAUCAGCAAAUGGAGUUCGCCAUGUUGUCCUCAGGUGACCUCAGUGCGAAACUUGGGUCACGUGAUUAUGUAUACAGUACAGGCACCUGUUAUCACAUGACCAAAGUUCUACACUUGGGUCACAUGACAACUGAAUCGACCACAACCAAAGCAAACUACGUCCCCUGAUGAAGACUGAGACACAGUAUAGUUGAAAGCUCGUGAAAAUGCUCAUCAGGACCUUUUUUAAAUUAAAGCUUCAACGUGUUGUUUUUUGCAGUAUGUGCUAAAACGACUGCUGAUGUCGUUUAGCACAAAAAGCUGGUAAGUGGACCUUGAGUUAUGAUUAUGUUGUAAAACAACUCUUCCCCAUUAUUGUGUCACAGGUCGUACAAGUUGGUCUGCAUUGAAUUUACUUUAUUACCAAUCUGUGUUUAGUACACAAAUCAAAUUACAACAGUUACACAGAUCUCCAGAUAAAACACAGUGAACCCACCAGCACCUUGUCAACAGUUGCCUUUUAAAUAAACUGCAAAUGCUGUAAAACAACGGCAUGCGCUGCAUAUUUCA